UACGUAGGGUGCAAGCGUUAAUCGGAAUUAUUGGGCGUAAGCGCGCGCAGGCGGUUCCUUAAGUCUGAUGUGAAAGCCCCCGGCUCAACCGGGGAGGGUCAUUGGAAACUGGGGAACUUGAGUGCAGAAGAGAAGAGCGGAAUUCCACGUGUAGCGGUGAAAUGCGUAGAGAUGUGGAGGAACACCAGUGGCGAAGGCGGCUCUUUGGUCUGUAACUGACGCUGAGGCGCGAAAGCGUGGGGAGCAAACAGG
rnacentral:rRNA from 1 species